UACGUAGGUGACAAGCGUUGAUCCGGAUAUAUUGGGCGUAAAGCGAGCGCAGGCGGGUCCGGUAAGUCUGAUGUGAAAUCCCACGGCUCAACCGUGGAACGGCAUUGGAAACUGGCGGACUUGAAUGUAGCAGAGGAAAGUGGAAUUCCAUGUGUAGCGGUGGAAUGCGUAGAUAUAUGGAGGAACACCAGUGGCGAAAGCGACUUUCUGGGCUAUGAUUGACGCUGAGGCUCGAAAGCGUGGGGAGCGAACAGGAUUAGAUACCCUGGUAGUCCACGCCGUAAACGAUGAGUGCUAAGUGUUGGAGGGUUUCCGCCCUUCAGUGCCGGAGUUAACGCAUUAAGCACUCCGCCUGGGGAUUACGACCGCAAGUUGAAACUCAAAAGAAUUGACGGGGACCCGCACAAGCGGUGGAGCAUGUGGUUUAAUUCGAAGCAACGCGAAGAACCUUACCAGCUCUUGACAUCUUCUGCCACCUUCAGAGAUGAAGGGUUCCUUCGGGGACAGAAUGACAGGUGGUGCAUGGUUGUCGUCAGCUCGUGUCGUGAGAUGUUGGGUUAAGUCCCGUAACGAGCGCAACCCUUAUUGUUAGUUGCCAGCAUUGAGUUGGGCACUCUAGCAAGACUGCCGGUGAUAAACCGGAGGAAGGCGGGGAUGACGUCAAAUCAUCAUGCCCCUUAUGAGCUGGGCUACACACGUGCUACAAUGGAUGGUACAACGAGUGGCGAGACCGCGAGGUUUAGCUAAUCUCCCAAAGCCAUUCUCAGUUCGGAUCGAAGGCUGCAACUCGCCUGCAUGAAGUCGGAAUCGCUAGUAAUCGCGGAUCAGAAUGCCGCGGUGAAUUCGUUCC
rnacentral:rRNA from 1 species